rnacentral:rRNA from 1 species
UACGUAGGGUGCGAGCGUUGUCCGGAAUUAUUGGGCGUAAAGAGCUCGUAGGCGGUGUGUCGCGUCGGCCGUGAAAACCUGCAGCUUAACUGUGGGCGUGCGGUCGAUACGGGCAUCACUGGAGUUCGGCAGGGGAGACUGGAAUUCCUGGUGUAGCGGUGAAAUGCGCAGAUAUCGGGAGGAACACCGGUGGCGAAGGCGGUUCUCUGGGCCUGUUCUGACGCUGAGGAGCGAAAGCGUGGGGAGCGAACAGG